UUGUUGGGGUUGUAGGACACUCUAUACGGAGUUACAAAGGACGACAUUAGACGAAUCAUCUGGAAAGAUGAAUCAAAGAAGGUAAUAAUCCUGUAGUCGAAAAUGUUGUCUCUCUUGAGUGGAUCCUGAGUACGACGGAGCACGUGAAAUUCCGUCGGAAUCUGGGAGGACCAUCUCCUAAGGCUAAAUACUCUCUAGUGACCGAUAGUGAACCAGUACCGUGAGGGAAAGGUGAAAAGCACCCCGGAAGGGGAGUGAAAUAGAACCUGAAACCGUGUGCUUACAAGUAGUCAGAGCCCGUUAAUGGGUGAUGGCGUGCCUUUUGUAGAAUGAACCGGCGAGUUACGAUUUGAUGCAAGGUUAAGCAGUAAAUGUGGAGCCGUAGCGAAAGCGAGUCUGAAUAGGGCGUUUAGUAUUUGGUCGUAGACCCGAAACCAGGUGAUCUACCCUUGGUCAGGUUGAAGUUCAGGUAACACUGAAUGGAGGACCGAACCGACUUACGUUGAAAAGUGAGCGGAUGAACUGAGGGUAGCGGAGAAAUUCCAAUCGAACCUGGAGAUAGCUGGUUCUCUCCGAAAUAGCUUUAGGGCUAGCCUCAAGUGAUGAUUAUUGGAGGUAGAGCACUGUUUGGACGAGGGGCCCCUCUCGGGUUACCGAAUUCAGACAAACUCCGAAUGCCAAUUAAUUUAACUUGGGAGUCAGAACAUGGGUGAUAAGGUCCGUGUUCGAAAGGGAAACAGCCCAGACCACCAGCUAAGGUCCCAAAAUAUAUGUUAAGUGGAAAAGGAUGUGGCGUUGCCCAGACAACUAGGAUGUUGGCUUAGAAGCAGCCAUCAUUUAAAGAGUGCGUAAUAGCUCACUAGUCGAGUGACACUGCGCCGAAAAUGUACCGGGGCUAAACAUAUUACCGAAGCUGUGGAUUGUCCUUUGGACAAUGGUAGGAGAGCGUUCUAAGGGCGUUGAAGCAUGAUCGUAAGGACAUGUGGAGCGCUUAGAAGUGAGAAUGCCGGUGUGAGUAGCGAAAGACGGGUGAGAAUCCCGUCCACCGAUUGACUAAGGUUUCCAGAGGAAGGCUCGUCCGCUCUGGGUUAGUCGGGUCCUAAGCUGAGGCCGACAGGCGUAGGCGAUGGAUAACAGGUUGAUAUUCCUGUACCACCUAUAAUCGUUUUA
rnacentral:rRNA from 1 species